CCAUUUGUGAAACGUCGACCAAAAAUUUUAUUUAUUCAAAUAAUAUUUUUUUCCAAUUUCUCUUUGCAUAAUAAAAAUUAUAUAAUCGCCGAAGUGAUCAACAUGAGAAGUAUCUAAUCGUCCUUAGAAAUUGUCAAUUUUUCCUUAAAAUUCAUUGACAGUGACAUGUUACUUUACAUUAUACGUCGAAUUUUAAAAAAUGAGAAAAAAAAGUACAGAUCUAUAUAUCUCAUGCAUGGAGAACACACAUUGAAUUAUGCGUAAUCGGUCAGUGAUAUUGCAUUAUCUAAAAUUAUCGACCUCUUCCAAAACUCUUCUAGUGCUUCUAAGGAAUACUAUAUAUCAUCGUACUGGAAUCAAUAGUAAGGCAUUUCCUUUUGAAACAUGGACCUUGUCUCUAACUUAUCCGUAAUAUUUUGUUCUAUACCUUAUUCGUCAGGUGUCUGAAAUUAAACAAACAAAAAAUAGGAAGAAAAAAUUUAUAUUGGCUUUGAUAACGAAUCUUCUCGAAAUCGAUGUAGUACUGUUUUACUAUGCUGCUAUCGAAUGGUGGUACGGGGCUAGGGAAUUAUCCCUUCAAAGGAUCGAUAAGGAAGCGGCUUCAGUAAGAGGAUAUAAUCGAUUGCGUUGGGAAAGGUUUUUCGAAGGAACGUCCAACGGUUCAUACGGAUCAUGGGUCAAAGUUGAAUUUUUGCUCUAAUGCGGGAACGUUCCUUCGUAGAAAAAUUAGGGACGAUAAGGAAAACCUUAGGGCGAUUAAUAGUGAUUCCGAAAAAGAUGUUAUGCGAAUCAAUAUUGAAGAAGAAGAAGAGGAUGAAGAUGAAGAAGAAGGAGAUACAGGGGAUGAAGUAGUAGAGGAGAUAUACUAAACUAACCGAAGACGACAGCAGUUCCAAUAGCGUGGAUGUAUUGCAAAGGAGCCGAAUUGACUUAUAUUUGAAUUGUAAUUCCAAAGAAAAACAACGCUCCACCAGAUAAUAAAACAUUGCACAUCCAAAGUGAAACACAUUUCCGUUGACACUUUCUGUUUCUCCGUACAUCUGACGAUACAUCCUACAUGGAUAGUACAAAUGCCAGAACAUCAACGAGAUUAAUAUAUGGAAACAUUUUCCUUUUUACAUUUAUGUUUAAAUGGAAAAUCAAUCAAUGCUGUGUUUAUUUAAUUGUAAGAUAUUUUAGAGGUAAGAUAAAUUUUUUAUUCUAAAAUGUAAUGUGGAAUAUAAAAUCUAUAUCAUAUCUAUAUAUUUUAUAAUAAUUUAUUGAAUAUUUUCGUAGAUCAUAUGCAGCCGAAGAAAGUAUUAUUAUUUAUAAGUGAAUUUAUCUCAAAUAUUCUAAAUGGUAUGAAUCCCAAAUUGGAGUAAUUAUCCGGUAACUUCUAUAAUAUGGAAAUGGUAUUUUCUAAUAAAUCUUAUACAAAUAUAGUGCUAAAUUUAAAGAAUAUUAAUGGAAUAAUAGAAUGAUUAGUGAUAAAGAUGUUUCAAUCGUUUCUAUUAUUUGUAAAGCUGUUGUUUGGCACGUAUGAUAGCUAGGGAUUAUUUAUCGUAUGAGACACACUUGCGUAUUACUGGGUCGAAAAUCACGGAAGGAAUGACUUACCCUAGUUUAAUUAGCCACAUGUUAGCUGGAUAGAAGACCAAGCUUCGUAAAAUCUAAUUCCCUAACUAGAACGCAUGGGGAUAAAUAAUUUCCCCUCUCCUAUAGUUAUGUAAUUAUAUGUAUAUAUAUUCUAUGUUCACGCGAAAUUAUCUGUGUAAUAUAUCUUGGAAUUUCCUAAUGAGAAUCUUACAAUAAUUCGUCUAUUUUUUAAUUGAAAUAAUCGUAUAAAACUGUAAUUAUUUAUGAUAUAAUUAACUAUUAUAAUAAUAAUUAUUGUAAUUAUCAAGACUAAUUAAUCGGAUAUUCAUAUAGGAAAUUCGCACUCUUACUUCUUUCGUAAGUCUACCUUAUACUUACUAGUUAUAUUUAAUAGAUUAAAUGUUUAUUUAUUGGAAAAGAGAUUGGAUUACAAUCUCGCUAAGUAGAUACAUGUCGAAGAACUUUAAACGGAAAUGAAAGUAGCUAAUUUUCUUACCGUAAAUAAUUUCUUCGAAGAAAAUGUAUAUUGGAGUAAAUUUUUUUCGAAUUUAAGUUUACCGUAAUAUAUCGAAAUAAAGAACGAACAUUUUCUUAUAAAUACAAAUAUAUGACUACAGCAACUAUUCCUAAACCCAACAAAAUAAUAAUUAAAAUGCUAUGAAUCAAGAGAAUCAAUUUCAUUUCUAUGAUAUAGAAAUGAAAUUUUCUACUAAAUCUAAUCGUUUUUAAGCCGUUUGUAUUAUUUGUAAAGCUGUUCUUUGGUACGUAUGACAACUAGGGAUUAUUUCGGGUAUGAGACACACUUGCGUAUUACUGGGUCGAAAAUCACGGAAGGAAUGACUUAUCCUAGUUAAAUUGGUCACGUCAUAACGAUAGAAGACCAAGCUUCCUAGAUUCUAAUUCUCUAACUAGAACGCAUGGGGAUAAAUAUUUCCCCUCUCCUAUAGUUACGUAAUUAUAUUUGUAUCUUUAUGUAAAUAUUAUACUCUAUGUCUCGUUA